UACAGUGCUAAUUUUUCAUGGCUGAAUGAACGUUUCCCAUAUUCAUCCCAUGCAUGUUCUACAAGUAGACCUCUUAGUUUUUUUCAUCAGACAUGUCUUCAUACUAAUACCUGAGGAUAUACUCAUACACUUGUGAGCAUAGUGGUCAUUGAAGGAUAUAAAGGAUACAUUUCAGUGAAAAAUACAUUAAUUGUAAUUUUAGAUCUCACAGAUACAAUAUUAUACCCAAUUGUUUUGGUAAAAUAUAAAAUAUGAGGUUGUGCUGAGUAAAUAGAUACCCAACACGUCCUUCCUUAUAAUUGUAUGUGUCAUUGAAAUGAUGAAAAACAUUGGUACUCAAAAACAUCCCGUAGAUGACACUUUAACCCCUCCACUGCCAUGGAUGUCAUACUGAUCUACAGAACUAAUGUCCCCCCUGCAGCAUCGACCCCCCCCCCCACCCCCACAUCGGAGAAAUGUUUUCCUUAAAAGGUUGUUUCAUGGUGUCAAAGUAUUACUUCAUCAGGGCAGGUGUAAGAAGACGAUAUAAAAAUAGUGAUUGAUGUAAAAGUCCAGUAUAUCGUAUUAUAAAGAUCUGAGUCAGGUACAAUUCAUGGACAUGACUGAGAUUUAUAACAUUUAGGAUUUGUAUUGUGUUAGAAAAGGUGAAACGAUCUAUGGAGAGGGUGAUCAAUACAUGGAGAAAUGGACUUUGUAGGCACUGGUUGAAAAAGUAAAAAAUAUUUUUAAUAAAUGAGAAAAAACAUACAGUUUCAAGACAAGAUGCUAGUGCAUCAAUAAAUACAUCAUAUUAAAAAAUGUUGUAAGAAUAUGAAACCAGGUAGAAAGACACCAGGUAGUGAUUGCUGUUGUUGUUGUCACUGAUAAGGACUAGUUUGCAGAUUUGUUGACUUCUUUUUGAUGCCACAUGUUAUGAGACUGCCUUCAUAUGUUAAAGAUACACUUGAUCUCUUAAAAAAACUAGAUGGGCUUACCAUUCCACCACAUGCUAUAUUUGUCACCAUAGAUGUGGAAGCUUUAUAUUCAAGCAUGUCACACAACACAGGUAUAAAAAUGGUAAAAUCCUUUCUAAUGGAACAAGACCAUAGACAAUGGAAAUUCCAAAUGCUUAUCAUUACAAUUUUGUCAUUUAUCCUUAAACACAAUUAUUUUUCAUUUCAUGGCUCCCACUACCUCCAGGUACAAGGUGUUGCCAUGGGCACUUGCAUACGCCAAUUUAUACCUGGGGGGGUGGGAGCGUGAGUUUUGGGCUAAUGAAGAAUACCAACAAUAUCUGUGCCAGACACUAUGCUGGUACAGAUAUAUUGACGACAUAUUUGUCAUCUGGACAGGGACCCCAUCAUCUUUAAAUGAUUUUCUACUCAAACUUAACACUAACAAUUUUAAUGUAAAAUUUACAUAUAACUGGCAACCUAAUUCAAUACCCUUUUUGGAUGUCUUGGUUUUCCGAGAUUGUAAUGAUAACAUCAGCACAAAAUUGUACUGGAAAAACACGGCAGGCAACACAUUGUUGCAUGCCGAUAGUGCGCACCCCCUAUUGGUACAUAGCAUCCCCUAUGCGCAAUAUAUUCGUCUGCACAGGAACUGCACCUAUGAUGCAGAUUUUAAAAACCAGGCCAGGGAACUUCGUAAUAGACUUUUACUAUGUGGUUACAGUAAAAGUCUUCUAAGAAAAGCAUACAAUAAAGCUUAUCAGAGAAAUAGAACAUCUUUACUGUACUCACAAUCCAAAGUUACCGAUCAUUUACAAACAACUAAAUUUAUCACGAAAUACACUGCACAGCAUGGACUACUUCGAAACUGUUUGGAGGGACACUGGUACCUCCUAAGUGAGGAUUUUACCCUAGGCAAAUAUGUAAGAGAUAGACCAGAAAUUGUAUUCCGUAGGUGCCCUUCUAUAGGAAACAAACUUACCGCAAGUGAAUACAAACCCAAACAGGAUAAAACUGGGUUUGUUCAAGGUCUAACUAGAUGUGGACAAUGCACGUAUUGUCCAUGGGUACAACCUGGUACAAAAUUUGAGCUACCAAAUGGCGAACUUUAGGCCUUGUGCACCACAAAGGGAGUAGUGUAUCUCAUGCUUUGCCGAUGUGGAGCUUUCUACGUCGGCAAAACUAUAAGAGAAUUCAAAAACGCAUAUAUGACCAUAUUUACUAUUCACAAUCCGGUAAAAUGAUUACACCGGUGAGUAGACAUUUGGGCCUGUACCAUAAAUUUGACGUAUCCUUGGUCAAGUUUAUCAUUCUUGAGGUUAUUCCUGAAGAUUUAAGAGGUGGUAAUUGGGAUAAGCGUAUCCUCCAGAGGGAAACCUUGUGGAUCGAGCGUUUGGGAGCAACAUGCCCCCCAGGUAUAAAUGAGGUACUGUCAUAUAAACCAUUUUUAUAAACAGGUUAGUUUAUCUAUAUAUGUGUUCUAUAGGAGUCUGUGUGUAUACACACAUGCAUGUGUGGAUCCUCUCGUGAUCAUGUAACAUGGAACCCCGUAUUGAGAGUUCCUCUAGUAAAUCUAUAAAUUUGAUACUAGUCACCACACUAUGCUAGUGGUCAGUUUGUAUUGUUAGUGUUUGCAAAGAUUUGAAGGUCACCAUAAUUCAACACAAUGCUCAUUAUCCCUCUCAGAUAAGCUCUGAAUUACCUUCUUCUGUUUAAUUUUUGGUGGUUUAAAAAAUAUAUAUAAACAUAAAAAAUAUAUAUAUUAAAAUUAAUAUCUAAAUUUUACAGUACAAUAAGGAUGUCUCUGUAUUGGAUUGGACAACGUUAUUCGCCAAUAAUAGAAGAAAUUUAUUUUAAACUCUGAGAUGAAUCGUUUUUGAUAACUAUAUAUCUCAAAAUUAACAGUGUAGUAAAUAUGUGAAUUUGCACUAUACUGCUGUAUGUACAAAUUUUGUUAUAUUCCAUUGUAUUUUAUUAUUAAUUAAAUUGCUUUUCUUUUCAUGUGAUCCCGCUAUGGCGAGGUUCUGAUUUGCACAUAUAAAAGUUUAUUCUUGUAGAUGCUGCUGCAGCUGUACUCCUCCGGGGGGAGCACCGUCACUCCCACCAUUUUCAUCGCUAUGGAUAAGUUUUAGCUCUUGGUUUAGUAUCGCAUUCAAGUGGCCACCCAAGCCAUUGUGUGGAUGAUCCCUCCCCUAUCCUCCCUGUGUGGAGUCAGGUGGCGGCCCUCCGCCAAUAGCAAACGGACUGUAUUCCAUCUCAUUUCUUCGUCCACCUCGCUCUCCAGCGCCCUGUGACUUCCUACAAGUCCCAGGAGCGCUAGGGCCAACCGGCGCAUGCGCGAUGGACCUGUUCGGCCGGCUCGCGUGACAUCAGACGCCAGUCUGACAUGCCGCGAGCGGGGUAUAAAUACAAGCCAGGCGGGUGUGCACUCUCCAGGUCGAUGCGGAGAGUGCCACACCGCAUACAGUGGCUAGGCGUCCCCCUCUAUGCACCUCAAAUAGAUCUGAUCCACUGGGUCAUACCGGAGACAAAGUCCUAAUAAAACAACUUGCAGUGAGAAGACAUAUAGGACCCAUUUACACCGGCCCACACAAAGUAGAUAAAGUCUCCAGAACUGCUGUGCUUACUUCCCGGGGACCACAAUGGAUCCAUGCAUCCUGGAAAAAGAAGACCCACCUUUCACUUCCAACUCCAGAGGCACCGACAGAAGAGCAGAAAAGGAGGGAUCAACAAGCCGCACAACUGGAGGACUCAGGCCAAGAAAUGGAACAGGUCACAGUGCAACUACCUCGAACGUUGUCAAAAACUGGCCCCAAUUUGCACCCCCGUUUCGGUCCCAGACGACUUACCAACUCCACAUUGACCCAAGUUGCAAAAUAUUUUUCUUGUCACUAAUUGUUACAUGUUGUGUUCUCCUUAUUGCAAUCCCAGGAAAAUGACUAACCCCCGUGUGAAAAGGGGUGAGAAUGUCAGCAUGGAAAUGUUGACCAUAGAGCAGAAAUCGUAUAAUGAGUGAUCGGCAUAGGCUAGUGCCUACACGAUCAAAGGAGGGAUUGUAAGGCUUGCUAGAGUUCACCCAUAAUAUCAAUGCAUUGUAAGGCUUGCUAGAGUUCCCCCAUAAUAUCAAUGCUUGUAGAGAUGUAUCCUUUAACCCACAACCGUUAGGAUUAAUUACACAGAAGCUAGAAACAGCCUUGCAAAAUGUUAUUGUGUACGUGCAAUAGAACAAAUACAUCUUGCAUAACAAGAUAGGGCAUGCAGUAGAACAAGUCUUAGCUGGUUACACGCUCAGGAAUGUUGUAUAAUUGUGACGUACUGUAUUACUUGUAUAAGCGAAUUACUUUACUAUGAUUGACUGAACCAAGGGUGUUCCUUUUCUUGUAUGUUUUGAAUAAGUGCAGUGCGCACAAGGAAUAAAAUUGUAGUUUUUGAUU